rnacentral:lncRNA from 1 species
GUUCAGUCUAAAAGAAGUGACAUAAUUCUCUCCCUAAGACUUGAUCUUAAGAGUAUCCAGUAAUGCUUAUGAGCUUUUAGUACGUUAAGUUUAUGAACCCCCUUAUACAAGGAAAAUAAAGUUUCAGGUUAACCUCCAACCAAACAACGAUCAGCAGACUGAAGCAAUUUGUCUUCCUUCCAAACACAAACAAAACUUGAAGUACUAUGGCUAAAUUAUAGUAUGCAGAAAGUAGAAAAAU